rnacentral:rRNA from 1 species
GUGGGGAAUAUUGGACAAUGGGCGCAAGCCUGAUCCAGCCAUGCCGCGUGUGUGAAGAAGGCCUUCGGGUUGUAAAGCACUUUCAGCGAGGAGGAAGGGAUGUAUGUUAAUAGCAUGCAUUUUUGACGUUACUCGCAGAAGAAGCACCGGCUAACUCUGUGCCAGCAGCCGCGGUAAUACAGAGGGUGCAAGCGUUAAUCGGAAUUACUGGGCGUAAAGCGCACGUAGGCGGUUUUUUAAGUCAGAUGUGAAAGCCCCGGGCUCAACCGGGGAAUUGCAUUUGAAACUGGGGAACUAGAGUGUGUGAGAGGGGGGUAGAAUUCCAAGUGUAGCGGUGAAAUGCGUAGAGAUUUGGAGGAAUACCAGUGGCGAAGGCGGCCCCCUGGCACAACACUGACGCUCAGGUGCGAAAGCGUGGGGAGCAAACAGGAUUAGAAACCCCUGUAGUCC